rnacentral:rRNA from 1 species
GACGAACGCUGGCGGCGUGCCUAAUACAUGCAAGUCGAACGCAGUGGGGACGGGUGAGUAACACGUGGGUAACCUCCCAUCAGAGGGGAUAACACUUGGAAACAGGUGCUAAUCCGAUACUGAUGGAUGGACCCGCGUUGCAUUCGCCAGUUGGUGAGGUAACGGCUCACCAAGGCCACGAGGCAUAGCCGGCCUGAGAGGGUGAGCGGCCACAGUGGGACUGAGACACGGCCCAGACUCCUACGGGAGGCAGCAGUAGGGAAUCUUCGGCAAUGGACAAAAGUCUGACCGAGCAACGCCGCGAGAAUGAAGAAGGUCUUCGGAUCGUAAAACUCUGUUGUUAGAGAAGCGGUAUCUAACCAGAAAGCCACGGCUAACUACGUGCCAGCAGCCGCGGUAAUAC